UACGUAGGUGGCUAGCGUUGUCCGGAUUUACUGGGCGUAAAGAGCGCGCAGGCGGUCGUUCAAGUCGAGUGUGAAAGCCCCCGGCUCAACUGGGGAGGGUCACGCGAUACUGUCGACUCGAAGGCAGGAGAGGGAAGUGGAUUCCCGGUGUAGUGGUGAAAUGCGUAGAUAUCGGGAGGAACACCAGUGGCGAAGGCGACUUCCUGGCCUGUUCUUGACGCUGAGGCGCGAAAGCUAGGGUAGCAAACGGGGAU
rnacentral:rRNA from 1 species